CCAGUUUUACACUUUGGCCAUAUGAUUUUGAAGGGGUUGUCAUAUUUUGCCCUUGUAGUUGUGAUGUUUUCAUUAGGGCAUGAUAUUUUCUGAUGGAUUAACAGCUUAGUCCCUGGUCUCCUCCCUGGUUAAUUACGAGGGAUUCACAGUUUUACACAUUGUUCACGUGUUCUCUUCCUCUGGUAUGAAUUUUGCCCUUUUGGACAGGCUGUGCUCCUCCCAUCGGCUCCCCUCCUCAUCUUCCAAUCAAACACCCCACCUUUCCUUAGAUUACACCUCCCAACCUUUGAAUCAUGUUUUUCCAUUUACUUCCACCACUUCUUUCCUUUGAUUUCAUCUACACAUAUACACAGUGAUCGAUUUCAUUCUGCCAAAACGCUUCACACCUCCAACCUCUGCUGAACGCAAAUGUCACAGCCACAGCUAUCGCCGCCGCUACCUUUACCACCACACGACUACCCUCCUUCGCCGCUGAUCGUCGGUUUUCAUCGGCGUUUUCCACUUCUCUCCUUCUCCGGUGGUUCUUUUGUCGACCAUUAUGUUCUUCGUUACCAGGCCGUUCAAGGGUCCAUUGUCAUCAUCUUUUCCAGUUGAUGCUUCACUACGGUUCACCAAUACAAUGCCUUCAUUCAACAUAAGAAAGUCAAAACCCUAUACCCAUUUCUUCAUCUCCAUCAUGUUUCCAUGAAUCCAUUUGCUGCCACAAUACUCUUCUUAUUUGAAGAUCAUUUGAAACUAAAAGAUAGAUCAUGGGCAUAAUUGGCUUGUGAAUGACUUAUAAUUGAUUGCAUUUAGGGUGAACUUAUGAUUCAUUAGUAGUGGGUGAACUUAUGAUCCAUUAGUAGUUCAUUUUAGUAUUUUUUUUAUCACUUAUAUCACUUAUAUGACUUGAAAAUAGAUGGAAAAAGGAAUCUAGGGUUGUUCUUCCCAAGGAAAGACUGUAUUUGCUCAAAGCUAUUGACCUUCACCUACAAAGAAAGUUCAUAUCUCUCUUUCUGUCUCACUCUCUAUAUUUUCAUGUGUGGUUUCCAUAAACAUUGGUUUGUGAUUUUAAUAAGUGUUAUGAUUUUGAUUUUUUAAUUUUGUCAAUGUAUGUAUGUCUAUUCUUCAUUUUUGAUGAAUUUUGUCAAAUCCAAAUCUUGUUUAUAUUAAUUACAUCUUUCAUUUAGGACAUUGGAUGAAAUAUGAACAUAGAUUACUAUUUGGACU